CACGGGGGGAGCAAGCGUUGUUCGGAAUCACUGGGCGUAAAGGGCGUGUAGGCGGUCAGGUUAGUGAGAUGUGAAAUGCCCCGGCUCACCCGGGGACCUGCAUCUCAAACUGCCUGGCUUGAGUAUGGGAGAGGAUGAGGGAAUUCCUGGUGUAGCGGUGAAAUGCGUAGAUAUCAGGAGGAACACCGGUGGCGAAAGCGCUCAUCUGGCCCAAUACUGACGCUGAGGCGCGAAAGCUAGGGGAGCAAACGGGG
rnacentral:rRNA from 1 species